CAGAGCGUUAACUCGCUGGGGCUAUACUAGACUUGGUUGAAGGUUUUCUUUCACAUUUUCGCACCUUUUUUGACCGCUCGCAUGCAUCGCUAUUUUCAACCCCUUGAGAGACGGAUUUGAACCAAGUCUAGGGCUAUACAAAUACGCAUAUUACUGUGCAUCAGAGGAGGUUGGACAGCAGGCCGCAAAGCAUCAUGGGUAUUGAGCGCCUAAUUCCGCGCGUGACUUCAUUCACUGUUGACUGUCGAGGAAUGAACAUCUCUCUGACUAAACCAAUAUGGAAGCUUUCGAACGACAAGAGUGUCAGGCUGCGAUACUUUGUGAAAAGAAACAGCAUGUUAUUGCUGUAUUGUUGCGAUCAUCAUUAUGACUUGUGUUUUACUAUACCAAGUUUACCUUUUUUAAAUAUUUGCAUGGGACAUGUUGUCAUUUUAGCUUGAUAAAUAAUGCGUUUGAGCGAAGGAAUUUUGUUUAUAUUCCCAGUAGCGAGGCUCUUCUUCCUAACUUGGAUGACGUUAAAUCUCCGUGUAUCAUCAACGUGAUGAAAACAAGCGCAAUAUUUAAGGUUGGUAUACUACAAUGCAUUACAGUUACCUUGUUAUUUAGUCAAAUUAUUAUCCGCUUUGUUGUUUUUAACCUUGUACUGUAAUUUUGACCCUAUUGUGUGUGUCUGUGUACUGUGUCACUGUAAUACAUAUGUACAUGCUUUGAGUUAAACAAAUUGUUUAAUAAAUUUUUGCUGAAGUAUGAUGCCUGUUUGUAUCUAGUUGUGGAUAGAUUUUUACAUAUAUGUGCAUACAAUAGUGAUAUUUUUCAAUUUUCAUCUGUAAAAUAUUGCCAUAUUUGUGUGUUGUUCUAUAAAUAUUACUGUAAAUAGUGACACACUUUUGCAUUAGAUUUCUAAUUUUAGAGAUUACAGCUUAUGUACAAAAUAAUAAAAUAAAAAUUUUCUUGUUAUGAUUUUGUAGAAACUAAGGAUCUACUUGAGUGGUUGGCUGGUCUUGAACCUGGUCAGCAUGGAUAUGGUAAUGAAGGUGAUAGGGCAGAAAGUGGUGACCAGUUAAGUGAUGAGGAUGAAAGUGACGAGGACGAAAUCACCCAUGCUGUACCAUUCAAGUGCAUCGGUGCUGCUCAUGAGAAAAAUUACCAACAUCAACAGCAUACCUUGCUCUUCAUGGACAAGAUAAACCAGUGAAUGUAAGAAUACGGCCAGAGCCAUUGAAUCCAAUGGACCCAAGUGCAAUUGCAAUUGAUGUAGACUAUGGAACUGGAUGGACACACAUUGGUUAUCUUGCUUCUCAACUAUGCGAGUAUUUGCACCGACUAAUUGCCACAGGAGAUAUCUUAGAGGUCUAUGUUCAGCAUAUCAAGUAUAGGGUUGACUUUUUUAAAAUAGGAUUUUAUCAAAAAAUUUUCAUAAAGCGACGUGGUGAGUGGGAGACUCAAGUGGUAAGGGAUAGCAUGAGUGUACGUUGACAGAUGUUUGUGAUAUAAUUGUAACUGACUAGGUUUAGCAAGUUAUAGAAAUGAUCUUAUUUCAAUUAGGAAACUUUUUAGAUUUUCAUAAACAAAAACUAGGUUAAUCAUAAGUGGGUGUGCACAAUUAAAAUAAAAAAAGUCUGUCAUGCACACUCAUGCAAUUAAGACAAGUACAUAAUUGUAACAUGUGCUGUACUAAAUGAAGAAAUAAAUAGUUUGUACAUUCACUUGACCAACUUUGUGAGUAAUUUUUAUUUUUCAUUAAAAUUAAUGAAACAAUAAAACAAAAAUAUGUCUAUUUAUAUACAUAUUGAUCAAAGGUCCCACAAUA